rnacentral:tRNA from 1 species
UGCCCGAUCGUCUAAUUGGCAGGACAGCGGUUUUUGGUACCGUCAGUCAAGGUUCGAGUCCUUGUCGGGCAA